UAGGGAAUCUUCCGCAAUGGGCGAAAGCCUGACGGAGCAACGCCGUGUGAGUGAAGAAGGAUUUCGGUUCGUAAAGCUCUGUUGUUAGGGAAGAAUGAUUGUGUAGUAACUAUACAUAGUAGAGACGGUACCUAACCAGAAAGCCACGGCUAACUACGUGCCAGCAGCCGCGGUAAUACGUAGGUGGCAAGCGUUGUCCGGAAUUAUUGGGCGUAAAGCGCGCGCAGGUGGUUUAAUAAGUCUGAUGUGAAAGCCCACGGCUCAACCGUGGAGGGUCAUUGGAAACUGUUAAACUUGAGUGCAGAAGGGGAGAGUGGAAUUCCAUGUGUAGCGGUGAAAUGCGUAGAUAUAUGGAGGAACACCGGUGGCGAAAGCGGCUCUCUGGUCUGUAACUGACGCUGAGGCUCGAAAGCGUGGGGAGCAAACAGGAUUAGAUACCCUGGUAGUCCACGCCGUAAACGAUGAGUGCUAGGUGUUGGGUCCUUUCCGGGACUCAGUGCCGCAGCUAACGCAUUAAGCACUCCGCCUGGGGAGUACGACCGCAAGGUUG
rnacentral:rRNA from 1 species